UACGAAGGGGGCUAGCGUUGUUCGGAUUUACUGGGCGUAAAGCGCACGUAGGCGGAUUGUUAAGUCAGGGGCGAAAUCCUGGAGCUCAACUCCAGAACUGCCUUUGAUACUGGCAAUCUAGAGUCCGGAAGAGGUGAGUGGAACUCCUAGUGUAGAGGUGGAAUUCGUAGAUAUUAGGAAGAACACCAGUGGCGAAGGCGGCUCACUGGUCCGGUACUGACGCUGAGGUGCGAAAGCGUGGGGAGCAAACAGG
rnacentral:rRNA from 1 species